rnacentral:rRNA from 1 species
UACGUAGGGGGCAAGCGUUGUCCGGAAUCAUUGGGCGUAAAGCGCGUGUAGGCGGCUCGGCAAGUCAGCUCUGAAAGUCCAGGGCUCAACCCUGGGAUGCGGGUGGAUACUGCCGGGCUCGAGUCCGGAAGAGGCGAGUGGAAUUCCCGGUGUAGCGGUGAAAUGCGCAGAUAUCGGGAGGAACACCAAUGGCGAAGGCAGCUCGCUGGGACGGUACUGACGCUGAGACGCGAAAGCGUGGGGAGCGAACAGG